GAACUACAGAUCCUCCAGCUUCCCACUGCCUCAAGAAGUCUGCAUGAGCCACCUGCUGAUGGAGGAUGAGGAGGAUCAGGCAUAUUUAACGGAUGAA